rfam:Brachypodium distachyon strain Bd21 chromosome 2, whole genome shotgun sequence.
UAUAUACUCCCUCCGUCCAACAAAAGAUGUCUCAACUUUGACCAAAUUUGAAUGCAUCUAUACACUAAGUUAUGUCUAGAUGCAUCCAAAUUUUAACAAACUUUUGACAUCUUUUGUUGAACAGAGUGAGUAUCUU